rnacentral:rRNA from 1 species
UUAUUUAUAACUCCACCCUUAUAUUACUACAAUCAAACCAUUAUCUCUUAAACCCGUGAACCCACCUCCUCUUUCUAUCUCCGCAAGGUCAAAUUUUAAAACUUUAUUUAGUAUAGAUUAUCCCUAGUACCUUUUGCAUCAUGGCUUAGCAAAUUUUAUAGUAAAUCUUUAUCCCCGAAAUCAACACGAGCUAAUUUAUUUUUGUUAAGAACUACAAAUUUAUUGUCGCAUUAAUAUUUUAAAAAUAUAAACUAGAGGCUACAUACCUACCGCGUUUGAUAAUAGCUGGUUAUUCUCUAUUUCUAUCAUAGUAGAGGUAUUUUAUAAAUAAAUAUCCCAAUUUUAUUAGGAUAAGCUAAUAAAAUAUUUCUUAUUACUAAUUAAAAGAACAACUUAUAUUAUAAGCUUUAAAACAGCUAUUAAUCCUACACUACGUUUUAGUUUACUAAAUAACUUCCUAAAAAUAUUAUAUAAAAUAUUAAUAAUAAGAGAACCUUUCUGCAAAACCACCACCCAUUAUAGAUAAUGCUAAGAUUAGUAUUCUGUAAAAUACCCCCUAUAACUUUUAAAAUAAAUUUCAUUUUUACUAUAUUUAUAUAGAAUUAAUAAACUCUGCAAACACAGAAUUCGACUGUUUACCAAAAACAUUGCCUUUAGCAACUUCAUUAAAGGUUCUUCCUGCCCAGUGAAUAAUUUAAACGGCCGCGGUAUCCUAACCGUGCAAAGGUAGCAUAAUCAUUUGCCUUUUAAUUGAAGGCUAGUAUGAAUGGAUAAACGAAAUUCUUACUGUAUCACUUCUACCCAUAAAAAUUAGAUUUUAGGUGAAGAUACCUAAAUUAUCUUGAAAGACAAGAAGACCCUAUAGAGUUUCAAUAUAAAUUAUCAUCUCUAUACCUUUAUAUUUUGGUUGGGGCGACUUAGGAUUAUUAAAAACAUCCUUUUUAAUUACGAAUAAAUAAUUCUUAAUAAAGACCCUGAAAUUCAGAUUCUUAAAAUAAACUACCUUAGGGAUAACAGGCUUAUCUUCCUAAAGAGUUCAAAUUAACAGGAAGGUCUGGCACCUCGAUGUUGGCUUAGAGUAACCCAUUAAUGCAAAAGUUAAUAUAGGUCGGUUUGUUCAACCGUUAAAUCUCUACAUGAGCUGAGUUCAGACCGGCGCAAGCCAGGUUAGAUUCUAUCUUCAACACAUAAUGAAUUUAUUAGUACGAAAGGACCAUAUAAUUCUAAUUCUAUUAAUCUAUUGACAACAUAUAAUCACACUUUAUAAAUCUCUAUAUUAAACUAAUAUAUUA